rnacentral:rRNA from 1 species
GAGUUUGAUCCUGGCUCAGAACGAACGCUGGCGGCGUGCUUAACACAUGCAAGUCGAACGUGAUCCAGAGCUUGCUCUGGUGAAAGUGGCGCACGGGUGAGUAACGCGUGGAUAACCUGCCCUGGUAUCUGGGAUAACAUCUCGAAAGGGGUGCUAAUACCGGAUAAGCCCACGGACUCCUCGGAGUUCGCGGGAAAAGGUGGCCUCUAUUUAUAAGCUACCGUAUCAGGAUGGGUCCGCGUACCAUUAGCUAGUUGGUGGGGUAAUGGCCCACCAAGGCUACGAUGGUUAGCUGGUCUGAGAGGAUGAUCAGCCACACUGGAACUGAGACACGGUCCAGACUCCUACGGGAGGCAGCAGUGGGGAAUUUUGCGCAAUGGGGGAAACCCUGACGCAGCAACGCCGCGUGAGUGAUGAAGGCUUUCGGGUCGUAAAGCUCUGUCAGAGGGGAAGAAAUGAGUCUGGCUAAUAUCCAGAUUUCUUGACGGUACCCUCAAAGGAAGCACCGGCUAACUCCGUGCCAGCAGCCCGCGGUAAUAC